UGGGGAAUAUUGGACAAUGGGCGAAAGCCUGAUCCAGCCAUGCCGCGUGUGUGAAGAAGGUCUUCGGAUUGUAAAGCACUUUAAGUUGGGAGGAAGGGCAGUAAGCGAAUACCUUGCUGUUUUGACGUUACCGACAGAAUAAGCACCGGCUAACUCUGUGCCAGCAGCCGCGGUAAUACAGAGGGUGCAAGCGUUAAUCGGAAUUACUGGGCGUAAAGCGCGCGUAGGUGGUUCGUUAAGUUGAAUGUGAAAGCCCCGGGCUCAACCUGGGAACUGCAUCCAAAACAAGGGAGCUAGAGUAGGGCAGAGGGUGGUGGAAGUUCCUGUGUAGCGGUGAAAUGCGUAGAUAUAGGAAGGAACACCAGUGGCGAAGGCGACCACCUGGGCUCAUACUGACACUGAGGUGCGAAAGCGUGGGGAGCAAACAGG
rnacentral:rRNA from 1 species